UUCUCCCAGUCGUGCGGUGACUCGGGUCACCCUCCAGGUGUUUUACUUUGGUUUUGUUUUUUUUGGUUUUGUUUUUAUCUUGUUUUCUCGGGGUUGCCCCCCUCUUGUUUGUGUUGUGUGUGGAAAUGGCGAACUUGGCAAAUACAAACACCAUGCCUAAACUAUACAGAUCUGUGAUUGAAGAUGUUAUUAAUGAUGUGAGAGACAUCUUUCUGGAUGAUGGAGUAGAUGAACAAGUCCUGAUGGAACUAAAAACGUUAUGGGAGAAUAAACUAAUGCAGUCUAGAGCAGUAGAUGGAUUUCAUUCAGAGGAACAGCAGCUUUUAUUGCAAGUUCAACAGCAGCAUCAACCCCAGCAGCAGCAGCAUCACCACCACCACCACCACCAGCAAGCUCAACCUCAGCAGACAGUACCUCAGCAAGCGCAGACCCAGCAGGUCCUUAUUCCUGCAUCACAGCAAGCCACCGCACCACAAGUUAUUGUUCCUGAUUCUAAGCUGAUACAACAUAUGAAUGCAUCAAACAUGAGUGCUGCUGCUACAGCUGCCACCUUGGAACUCCCUGCAGGUGUGACUCCUGCUCAACAGAUAUUAACAAAUUCAGGCCAGCUUCUUCAAGUCGUCAGAGCAGCCAAUGGUGCCCAGUAUAUCUUUCAGCCUCAGCAGUCAGUGGUUCUACAACAACAGGUUAUACCACAAAUGCAGCCUGGUGGGGUACAAGCUCCUGUUAUUCAACAGGUACUGGCCCCUCUUCCUGGAGGGAUUUCACCACAGGCAGGUGUCAUCAUCCAGCCUCAGCAAAUCUUAUUUACAGGAAAUAAGACUCAAGUUAUACCUAUGACAGUGGCAGCACCUACACCAGCACAAGCACAGAUAACUGCCACUGGCCAACAGCAGCCUCAGGCCCAGCCUGCUCAAACACAGGCUCCAUUGGUAUUACAAGUUGAUGGAACUGGGGAUACGUCAUCUGAAGAAGAUGAAGAUGAAGAAGAAGACUAUGAUGACGAUGAAGAAGAAGACAAAGAAAAAGAUGGAGCUGAAGAUGGGCAAGUGGAAGAAGAACCCCACAAUAGUGAAGAUGAUGUGAGUGAUGAGGAAGGACAAGAACUCUUUGACACAGAAAAUGUCGUUGUAUGCCAAUAUGAUAAGAUACACAGAAGUAAAAACAAAUGGAAAUUUCAUCUCAAGGAUGGCAUAAUGACUCUUAAUGGAAGAGAUUAUAUAUUUUCCAAAGCCAUUGGAGAUGCAGAAUGGUGAAGAGUUGUUCUUUUCUUUUAUAAAUAAAAGAAACUUUAAUAACAUUUAAAGUGGACAGUUUGAAACUUGGGACAUAUAUCAACCAAAACUUCACUUCUGCAUGUCAGAAAAGUGCAGU